AUACAACGAAGAGUUUGAUCCUGGCUCAGGAUGAACGCUAGCGACAGGCCUAACACAUGCAAGUCGAGG
rnacentral:rRNA from 1 species